rnacentral:rRNA from 1 species
CAGCAGUCAAGAAUAUUAGUCAAUGCUCGCAAGAGUGAACUAGCUAACUGAAAUCAUUUGUGUGUCACAAGUGAUAACGUAAGGGAAAAUAAUGAUAUUACCUUACUAUUAGUGUCGUCCAAAGCUGGUGCCAGAAGACUCGGUAAGGCCAGAGACGCAAACGUUAAUCGUCUUAAUCAGGCGUAAAGGGUUUGUAGGCUGCUUUAAAAUUUUAUAUUUAAUAUAGCCAAAGUAAAUAUAAAUGUAAUUAAAGCUUGAAUCAAAUAGAGGGUAAUCCGAAUAAUACUUAGAGUAGGGCUGAGAUCCGUAAAUCCUAAGGGGAAUACUAAUGGCGUAAGCUUUUUAUCCAUUAAUGAUUGACGCUGAGAAACGAAGGUGAGGAUAGGAAAUAGGAUUAGAUACCCCGGUACCCCUCUCUGUCAACGAUGAAUGGUAGUUAUUAGUUUAUUAAUUAGUGACGAAGUUAACAUGUUUACCAUUCCGCCUUGUGAGUACGACUGCAAAGUUGAAAACAAAAAAAUUAGUCGGUCUCGGAGUACACGAAGUGAAGCAUGUUAUUUAAUUC